UACGGCCACAUCACGUUGAAACACCGGUUCCCGUACGAUCACCGAAGUUAAGCAACGUCUAGCCUGCUCAUUAUCUAGAUGGGGGACUUCUUCGAAAUACUAGGUGUUGUA